GCGCGCAGUGAGUUUGCUAAGAAAACUCCUGCAUGGUGAAUCCCCCUGUGCGGUGGGGUGAUACCAUUAACCUUUUCUGUCGCCGACAGGUAUCACGAACAUUUUGUUCACCGGGAGGCACCCGGCACCAUGCACUUCAAUAGAUUCUCUCCACAUUAUGGAUAUUCUUUCAGAAUAUCCCACGCAG
rnacentral:sRNA from 1 species